UACAGAGGGUGCAAGCGUUAUUCGGAAUUAUUGGGCGUAAAGCGCAUGUAGGUGGUUAGAUAAGUCUGAUGUGAAAUCCCCGGACUCAAUUCGGGAAGUGCAUUGGAUACUGUUUGACUAGAGUAUGGGAGAGGUAAGCGGAAUUCCAGGUGUAGAGGUGAAAUUCGUAGAUAUCUGGAGGAACAACAGAGGCGAAGGCGGCUUACUGGACCAUUACUGACACUGAGGCACGAAAGCGUGGGGAGCAAACAGG
rnacentral:rRNA from 1 species